CCUCAGAUCCUUGUGGAUGAGUGGCUUGCUGUUCUUGGAUAAGCUAAUUCAGGAGAAAAUAUGGCACUGGAACAGAAUUUGGCAAGAGGAAACAGAACCAGAACAAAAGGGAAUAGAACACUGGGCUGGAUGAUCUCAGAGGUGAGCUCAGCUGAUUCCCUCAUUUCACAGGUGAGGAAACAAAGACACCAAGUGACCAGCCCAGGGCAAGUCAGCAGCGGUGUGGGGGCCAUCAGAGUUGAUUCUGUCCAGCCUUCCCCUCUUUCGCUAGCAAGGGCCUCCUCUUCUUUUGGGGAACUGCUCACCCCACCAUUCACCAAACAGCUUGGAGAGGAAUUGCCUGUCAGGGUGCUCCCACUCCCAGUGGACAUGUGAUCUCAAGUGGGCUGGCUAGCAUCCUUCCCUGGAAUUCUAAAAUUCAGAAGUAAGAAGCAGCAGCCUUCUCUGUCUGUGGGCUUAUAAGCUGCCAGCAAGCAUAGCCCCCUGCUCAUUAAAAAAAGCCAGUCCCAGAGAAAUAAAGAAACACACACUC